rnacentral:rRNA from 1 species
UACAGAGGGUGCAAGCGUUAAUCGGAAUUACUGGGCGUAAAGCGUGCGUAGACGGUUAUGUAAGUCAGGUGUGAAAGCCCCGGGCUCAACCUGGGAAUUGCAUUUGAGACUGCAUAGCCAGGGUGCGGAAGAGGGAAGCGGAAUUUCCGGUGUAGCGGUGAAAUGCGUAGAUAUCGGAAGGAACAUCAGUGGCGAAAGCGGCUUCCUGGUCCAGCACCGACGUUCAGGCACGAAAGCGUGGGGAGCAAACAGG